ACUGUACCUGGUCAGAGCUUAGAGUGGAGGCCACUGGCUGGCCAAUGACUCACAAGUGUAGGUAGUACCAUGCAAAAGGGGCAAGUGUUUUGGUAACACAAGGUCUCUGGCCCAAUGAGUGGAAUUUGAUAGAAACUCUUGCUGCAGUU